UUGAUGGGACACCUGAAGCCAAUCAAAGGCUGGCUGGAACUAGUUAAAAGCCUCCCAGUUAGUCAGUGAGGCACACAUACCAGGAGCUGUAGGAGGAAGCCAUGCUGUUGGAGAAACUAAGCAGUACAAAUCCAUAUCAGGCACAAGGAAGGAGGCCCUGAGGCAAUAGCUGAGCUGUUCUAUUGUGAGCUCCUGUGACCUGUGUGAACCACCAGACAAGAGAGAGACAUUAACUGGCGUGAAGUGCUGAUCUCCAGCAGAGGGUGUUAUGUUCUGCCAAAUGGAAGAGGUCCAUUGACACCAGAGGGACUAUUGUGGGAUGUUAAAGAGGAGGAUGAUGGUGGUGGUUCUGCUCUCCUUCCCAUGAAGAUGAGUCAUGCAUGUGGAUUCCUCCUGUCUGCUGAGCUUGCAGCUCAGAGCACAAUGGCUGAGGGAUAUAAAAACCCGUAACAAGAAGGAACUGAUGCUUGGACUCUGGCGGGACCUGCUACAAGUGUGGUAUUUGGUGUGAGAUCUAAGGUGAAAUUGAUCUGGGAAUUAGGAUCUUCCCACUACAGGUUAGAAAAAGGGCCGUAGCUGCCAGGGAUAGAUGGCCCUCCUUCCCAGCCCCAGCUCAGGGGCUGCUGCAGCAGGGGAGAGAGGACA